GAAAAUGAUCAAAGCCUUGACCUUCUUGGCUGCAGUAGCCGUAGUUUCUGCCUCUCCGUCACACUUCUUGAUAAAUGCAUCGUGUGAGGGAGCUGAAAAUGUGACUUCGUGUGAGGAUGAUCUGAAAGUCUGCAAGAACAUCUUCGCAGUUGAACAUGAUGAACAAAUUAGGAGAGAAAUAUACAGGAAAUGCCUCGACAAUAACGGUUUUAACCAUCUUAAUGACGUGGACCCUGAGUUCCUCUUCAGUUCCACAGACCCGCAAGUUCUAUCGCUCUUUGGUUCCGAGGAGAACCACGUAGCACUUAAGCAGUGCAUCCUGCAGGAGCGUGGAGAGUUAAGGCCUAACGGAACAGUCGACCCACAGCCAUUCUUGGACAGGCUAACACCCGCCCUUAACGACACCCGCCCUGACCUCCUCGACCGCCUUGUUUAUGGUACAGAGUCCUGCUCGACUGAAAGCAUUAAGGAAUGGGAGGUCUGCAUCUUCUAUACAUGCUUCGAGGGGGAAUUCACACCAACUGAGCCUACUACAACUGUUGUUCCUGAGGAGUAAUCAUGUGAAAUAUUUUCAUACUUCAUUUGAAAUCUUCAAGUCUCAACAAUGUAAAUUAAUUGAAUAAUGAUUAUGAAAGAUUUGGUAUUACUUUUUUUUUACGUGUUUCCUGAAGUUCUGUUCAUAAAAAUAAAAUCUA